UUGGAUCUGAGGAAAGAUUGUCUCAAGCCUCAGGAGAAGCAUGUGUCAUACAGUUAUCACUGGGACUUUUCACUGGUGACCAUUUCUCUCCUGUCUGGCACAUGAAGACUGAACCCCUUGUGUUGGAUGAGCCUGUAUAAUAGAUCUGAUGUACGUGACCUCGCUCUACCAGGGAAGAGAUUGGGGCACCUGCUGGCCCAGAACCCACUGGGAUGAAAACCACA
rnacentral:lncRNA from 1 species